UUUUGGUUGAGCGUGUAGCCACUGAUGCACCACUGCUUCAUCCCAUGAAAAUCUUCUUCACCUUAAGGCUUUUUUAAGCGUCCAAAAAGGUGGAAAUCAGAUGGUGCUAAAUCCGGACUAUAAGCGUCUCUCAGACAUGUCAGAUUACUACCCUUCCCACCCUCACCCUUUCUAACCAAAAUAUAAAAGUGAGGAAACUUUUUGAAGAUCCCUUGUAUAUACUUUGUUUGUUUUAUUACUAUUUCUACAGCACCCACCGUGUGGCUCCAGUUCCUGGACGGUUUCAUUCCAGAUGGGCUCAAUAUGGAUACAGUUCAGCAAGUGUUCGGCAGAAGUGGAAUCUCGACUCCAGUGUGUGAAGUGGGAGGAAAAAUCAGAGGACUGGAAGGCCUGACUGUCUAAGUCAUCAGUCUGGCCAAACCGGUCGUAGGAUUUCCUGCGUUCCUCAUUCGACAAGAUCUAGCAAAAACAAAGCAGGUUAUGUGUGGAGCAAUAUAAAGCAGGGCAGAACAACAGACAAUAGAAUGGAUAUGAAAUAAAAAGAACAUCAGACAGAUGAAAUAAAACAAUAAAUAUAUAAAGACUUAUCACCAGGUUUUUAAGGGAAUGUUUUAUCUAUUUGGAUACAAAUGUCUGGUAAAUGCCACAAAUAUCAAUGAAAAUAAUUUGUGUUGUUUUAUGAGUCACUACCUUUAAUAAAAAACAUACCUCAUA